rnacentral:precursor_RNA from 14 species
CUGCCUGGCCUGCCCUCGGGCCUCUGUGGGCAUCUUACUGGACAGUGCUGGAUUCUCGGCAUGGCUCUAACACUGUCUGGUAACGAUGCUCACCGCUGUCCCACGCUCAUCGGCGCCAUC